rnacentral:rRNA from 1 species
AUUGAACGCUGGCGGCAGGCUUAACACAUGCAAGUCGAGCGAGCGGCGGACGGGUGAGUAAUGUCUGGGAAACUGCCUGAUGGAGGGGGAUAACUACUGGAAACGGUAGCUAAUACCGCAUACCAUCAGAUGUGCCCAGAUGGGAUGAGCUAGGAGGUGGGGUAAUGGCUCCCCUAGGCGAGGAUCCCUAGCUGGUCUGAGGGGAUGACCAGCCACACGGGAACUGAGACAGGGUCCAGACUCCUACGGGGGGGAGCAGUGGGGAAUAUUGCACAAUGGGCGCAAGCCUGAUGCAGCCAGGCCGGGUGUGUGAAGAAGGCUUUCGGGUUGAAAAGCACUUUCAGCGAGGAGGCGUUACUCGCAGAAGAAGCACCGGCUAACUCCGUGCCAGAGCCGCGGUAAUUC